CGGCUCAUCACAUCCUGGAGGGGGAGCACCUUCCAAGGGUCCGGCUGUUCGCCGGUUAAAGUGGUACGCGAGCUGGGUUCAGAACGUCGUGAGACAGUUCGGUUUAUAUCCGGCAUGAUUGUUAGGAAUUUUGAGGAAAUUUGACCCUAGUACGAGAGGACCGGGUUGAGCAGACCUCUGGUGUAUCGGUUGUGGCCACCUGCUGCAAUGCCGAGUAGCUAUGUCUGAUUAAGAUAAGCGCUGAAAGCAUAUUAAGCGCGAAGCUGAUUCCAAGAUUAGAAUUCCCUAUGAGUGCCCAGAGAGAAGAUCUGGUUGAUAGGUGCAAGGUGGAAGCGUCGCAAGGCGUGGAGCCGAAGCAUACUAAUCGCACCAUUGACUUUUUAUG
rnacentral:rRNA from 1 species